rnacentral:rRNA from 2 species
UAAUUAGUACCCCCUGCUCAAUGAACUUUAAAUAGCCGCAAAUUUAUGUGCUAAGGUAGCAUAAUCAUUUGCCUUUUAAUUUAAGGCUAGAAUGAAAGGACUAACGUGUUGGAUUCUUUAUUAUCAAAACUACUUAAAAUUUUCAUUUAAGUAAAAAGACUUAAAUUAUAAGAGAAGACGACAAGACCCCAUCGAACUUAAAAUAAUUUUUUAACUGGGGCGGUAUAAAACCAAAUCUUUUUCCAUCUCAGACAUUUCUAUCACUAAAAAGUAUUUAAACAAGUUACCGUGGGGAUAACAG